rnacentral:rRNA from 1 species
GCUUCCUACUUAUACCUCGCCGUUCGAGUAGAGCCGGGCUCCCGAGCCCUUGACACUCGAACGAGUAGGCAGGUCGAGCCGGUGGCGCGGAAGGCUCUGGGUGUGAACCUGGCUGGAGCCGCCGGCUGUGCAGAUCUUGGUGGUAGUAGCAAAUACUCCAGAGAGGCCCUGGAGGACCGAUGUGGAGAAGGGUUUCGUGUGAACAGCCGUUGAACACGAGUCAGUCGGUCCUAAGGCUUAGGGGAAGCCUUGUUGAAUAGUGCGAUUUUCUACCCGUAGAAGAACUCGCAUCGACAGCCGAAAGGGAAUGAGGUCCAUAUUCCUCAACCGGGCAGCGUAACUGUUUGGGCCCUCGUACCCAACAUGGCAACAUGAAAUGACUCUGAGACGCCCGCCGGAGCUCUGGGAAGAGUUGUCUUUUCUGCAUAAGCUGCCGAGGCCCUGGAAUUCCUUUGAGGAGAGAAUGGGUUUUGGUUUAGCCAAGAGCACAGCAGUUCUCGCUGUGUCCAUGAGUGCCCGGUGGGACCUUGAAAAUCAGAGUGAGGGUUACAGCGAUUCGCGCCCGUCCGUACCCAUAUCCGCAGCAGGUCUCCUAGGUGAAUAGCCUCUGGUCGAUAGAAUAAUGUA